rnacentral:rRNA from 1 species
UGCCAGUAGUCAUAUGCUUGUCUCAAAGAUUAAGCCAUGCAUGUCUAAGUAUAAAUAACUACACAGUAAAACUGCGAAUGGCUCAUUAAAACAGUUAUAGUUUAUUUGAUACAUUAAAUGGAUAACUGUAGGAAACUAGAGCUAAUACAUGCCAAGGUCGUAAGACUGCAUUUAUUAGAUAUACCAAGACGGUGAAUCAUGAUAACUUAGCAAAUCGAAACCACGUUUCGAUAAAUCAUUCAAGUUUCUGACCUAUCAUGCUCUCGAUGGUAGUGUAUUGGACUACCAUGGCAGUCACGGGUAACGGAGAAUUAGGGUUCGAUUCCGGAGAAGGAGCCUGAGAAACGGCUACUGCAUCUACGGAAGGCAGCAGGCGCGUAAAUUACCCAAUCCUAAAUCGGGGAGGUAGUGACAAGAUAUAACAACGCGACUAAAAAUCGCGAUUGUAGUGAGGGUAUUCUAAACAUAGCUUCGAGUACGAUUGGAGGGCAAGUCUGGUGCCAGCAGCCGCGGUAAUUCCAGCUCCAAUAGCGUAUAUUAAAGUUGUUGCAGUUAAAAAGCUCGUAGUUGGACUUCAAGAAGCGCAUCUGGGCAACCAGUAUGCCUUCUACCAGCCCUAGGCUGUUACUGUGAGAAAAUUAGAGUGUUUCAAGCAGGCUAUUGCAGGAAUACAUUAGCAUGGAAUAACGAAUGUGUCUACAAUUUGGUUGAUUGUAGGUUACAAUUAAUAGGGACAGUUGGGGGCAUUAGUAUUUAAUAGUCAGAGGUGAAAUUCUUGGAUUUGUUAAAGACUAACGUAUGCGAAAGCAUUUGCCAAGGAUGUUUUCAUUAAUCAAGAACGAAAGAUAGGGGAUCAAAGACGAUCAGAUACCGUCGUAGUCCUAUCUAUAAACUAUGCCGACUAGGGAUUAGUGCGGCCAGUACCGCAUUAGUACCUUAUGGGAAAUCAAAGUCUUUGGGUUCUGGGGGGAGUAUGGUCGCAAGACUGAAACUUAAAGAAAUUGACGGAAGGGCACCACCAGGAGUGGAGCCUGCGGCUUAAUUUGACUCAACACGGG